AUUCCCGCAGCUGCACAGAGGACCCGUCUCCCGUGGACUGGGAGUUCCUGGAGAGCCACCUCUGAACAGCUGGCAAUAACUUCCUAAGUCCCAUCUUCAUUUUCCUUUGUGUUGCGUUUCGGAACAUCCAGAAACC
rnacentral:other from 1 species